rnacentral:rRNA from 1 species
UUAUUUUAAGUAAUAAAAAUUUUUUUACCUAAGUAUUACGAGACUAUGAAUAUAGGUCUUAAAACUUAAAAGGUUUGGCGGUUUUACAAAUCCUUUUAGGGGAGCUUGUUAAUUAGUUUGAUAAUCCUCAUUUUAAACUUACUUUUUCUUGAAAUAGAUUAUUAUAAAACUACAGUUUGUAUAUUGCUGUCAUCAGUUUAUUCUUUGAGGGUAAAAGAACUUAUAAAUUUUAAUGUUUAUAUGUCAAGUCAUAAUGCAGUUUAUGGAGAAGGUUUAAUGAGCUACUUUUAUUAAUUUUUAUAAAAUCAGAUGAUAAAAUUUAAUUUUAUUAAAAAGAUGGACUUAAUAGUAAAUUAUAAUUAGUAUGUAUAAUUGAAUAUUGGUUUUGUAAAGUG